rnacentral:misc_RNA from 1 species
UUCCCUUUCGCAACGAUGCCGUCUAUCACCACUGCCAAGCGCGAGUACGAGGAGCGCCUCGUCGACUGCCUGACCAAGUACAGCUGCGUGCUGUUCGUGGGCAUGGACAACGUCCGCUCGCAGCAGGUGCACGAUGUGCGCCGUGCGCUGCGCGGCAAGGCCGAGUUCAUUAUGGGCAAGAAGACGCUGCAGGCGAAGAUCGUGGAGAAGCGCGCGCAAGCCAAGGACGCGAGCCCCGAGGCGAAGCGCUUCAACGAUCAGUGUGAGGAGUACAACCUGCUGAGCGGCAACACCGGCCUCAUCUUCACUAACAACGCUGUCCAGGAGAUCACCUCUGUGCUUGACGCGCACCGCGUGAAGGCCCCGGCGCGUGUCGGAGCGAUUUCCCCGUGCGACGUGGUUGUGCCUGCUGGCAGCACCGGCAUGGAGCCGACCCAGACGUCCUUCUUCCAGGCGCUGAACAUUGCGACGAAGAUUGCCAAGGGUAUGGUGGAGAUCGUGACGGAGAAGAAGGUGCUGAGCGUCGGCGACAAGGUGGACAACUCGACGGCGACGCUGCUGCAAAAGCUGAACAUCAGCCCGUUCUACUACCAGGUGAAUGUGCUGUCCGUGUGGGACCGCGGUGUGCUGUUCACCCGCGAGGACCUCAUGAUGACGGAGGACAUGGUGGAGAAGAUUCUGAUGGAAGGCCUGAGCAACGUUGCGGCGAUGGCGCUGGGUGCUGGCAUCCCGACGUCUUCGACGAUUGGCCCGAUGCUGGUGGACGCCUUCAAGAACCUGCUGGCUGUCUCCGUGGCGACCUCGUACGAGUUCGAGGAGCACAACGGCAAGGAGCUGCGCGAGGCCGCGAUCAACGGCCUGCUGGCCGGCUCUGGCUCGGCUGCUGCGGAGCCCGCCGCUGCCGCGCCGGCCGCCCCUAGCGCUGCUGCCAAGGAGGAGCCGGAGGAGAGCGACGAGGACGACUUCGGCAUGGGCGGUCUCUUCUAAGCGACUCGCCAUAUCUGAGCCUCCUUGUGGUGCGCUUGAGGUGCUCUCGCUCUGCUUCUCCUUGCAGUGUUGGCUGACUCUGGAGGGCAUGUGCAGUCGCAUUACACCCAUCUCUCUCACCCCUUUGUCCCUACGCGCUUGCACGCACAAUCCGUGAAUCAUCGAGAGAAGUCUCUCUCCAUGGCCGUGGGUAAGCUUGUGAGGAUAGGUGUGUGUGUGUGUGUGGGCAGGCAUGUCGGACGACUUAGACACACACACACACACACACGGAAAGACUCACACACAGCAUCCGUCCAGCGCAACAGCAACGCCCGCCGCGCGAAGCAGAGGCGGGCGCGCGCUCAGUGUACCGCUGUGAACGGAGGAGGGGGACUCUUCGCUUUUUUCUUUUUCUUGUUUCGGUGUUUUUUCUUCAUUUGACGUCUCAACUCAAAAACAGCACAGAAAACGCGGAAACGCCACAUGAGUGGAGCCGUUGCAAUCGGGGACGGUGGCGGCGCAACGCCGUCGUGGCAAUUGCGCGUGGGUUGCUGUCUGAUGGGUGGUCGCACUGCUGCUCGAACACAGGUGGACCCUCCCCCCGCAACGACGUCCGGCCGAGUCGCGUGUGUGUGGCGGUGAGCACAGGGUAGUCUUUGUUUCCGUCGCACAGCACCUAUCGUCGUUUUCGGCACUCCUCGUCACCUCUCCUUCGUGUCGCACGAAAGUGUGCUGUCUGUGAGGACGCUUCGGUGCGAAUAGGUGAGUGCAAACAUGCGUGCAUCGGCACCGAAUCGCGGUCGGGUAGAUUCCACGCUCCUGGAAGGUUGCAAGUGUCUUGCUGCUCGAGGUGGCCGAUGAGUCAAGGCCAUACCCUCACGCAACACCUGCACUGCUGCCCGCGCUGCUUUCCUCCAGCACGAAGGGAGGAAGGGGCACGGGUGGGGGCUGUAGGCGAGUAGCCCCUGAGGUUGUGAGUAGACGACACGCCGUGUGCGCCAGUGGGCACUGCGCACCUUUUCAGUGUUGUGUGUGGAACACAGGGUGGCGCACACUGUCUUCGGUGAUGCUUUCUCAUUAUGAGCCGCUUGCCUAGUAUGCGCAACCCCCAGCCCCUCCCCACCUCCUCCGCAGAGUCACCGCGUGCAUGCUAUGUGCCAUGUUUAAAGACAGCCUCCCCCACCCCUUGCCAACUCCCUCUCGGCUCGCCUUUAUCUCUCGUUCCUCUCUCGCGUUCAUUCGCUCUUCUUCGUGAACGAAACACGACGACUUGCCUCGUACCUUCCGCGUAAUCAAUAUUCCACUCACUCCCUUACAUAUGCAUUGCCCGUGCCACAACCUGGCACACACCUUCGGCUUACAAACAACACCUUCACCGACCCUACGACAG